CUGGCUCAGGACGAACGCUGGCGGCGUGCUUCAUACAUGCAAGUCGAACGAGAAUCUGGCUUCGGUCAGAGGAAAGUGGCGGACGGGUGAGUAAUGUGUAGAGAAUCUGCCCUUUAGUGGGGGACAACAGUUGGAAACGACUGCUAAUACCCCAUAUGCGCGUAGCUGAGAUGCUAUUCGUGAAAACUCCGGUGCUAAAGGAUGAGUCUGCAUCUGAUUAGCUAGUUGGCGGUGUAAUGGACCACCAAGGCGACGAUCAGUAGCUGGUUUGAGAGGAUGAUCAGCCACAAUGGGACUGAGACACGGCCCAUACUCCUACGGGAGGCAGCAGUAGGGAAUUUUGCGCAAUGGGGGAAACCCUGACGCCAGCAACGCCGCGUGAUUGAAUAAGCCCUUCGGGGUGUAAAGAUCUGUCAGUAGGGACGAAACUUGACGGUACCUACAGAGGAAGCAUCGGCUAACUCCGUGCCAGCCGCCGC
rnacentral:rRNA from 1 species